UAAUACAAAUACAGUCGGAUGGAUUUUCACAUGGUGAACAUACCUGAGUAACCAGAACUUGGAAAUGGAACAUCGGAACUUACCCCAUGGUUACCUGCGUUCUCUCUCGUCAGGACCUGCCAUGAUUCCCCACCAAAGUAUGAUCUGUCUUAUAACUUUGGACACCAUAAAUUCAUUUUGCUUGGUUUUGAACUUAUGGCAAAUGGAAUGAUACAGUAUAUACUCUGCUUCUUCUGUUGGUUUGCUGCAUGGUAUGCUGUUGUGUCCUGGAUACUGGGGAACUUCCACGUGGCCAUCAUGGAGAGCGAUGCCGUGAGUCCCAGGACAUUCCUUUAGCCGAACCUCGGUACCACCAGAAUAGUCUUCCUGAGACAUACAACCGAUUGUAUCACUGUUUUGCUCAAAACUUUCAUCCUCAAUACAAUUGAAACAAAGCAAAGCAAAACAACACGACUCUGAGCUCCUUGUAUAAUCAGGCUCCACCUUAAACGAGCUCCUGCCAACAUCUCCCUCUUCAUUACUGAGUUCAUGUCUGUGUACUGGUGCCACAUUAGAUUAGCAACUUUGCUACUCCAGCGCUGGCCAAGGCUGGUAUGGCCUUCCUCUCUUUCUGCCAAUAUUGAAUUUCUUCUCAUGGUUGAAGACCAACCGAGGGCUGUCAUGUUCCAACAACACUUCCUGCUCCAGGCUCUGUGAAGCCUAGUCUGACCUCCCAGCACUCAUCAUGUCUAUCUGGUCAGUCCAACCUUGACCUAUUGAGGGCUGGGCUUAUGGUUUUCUUCUUCACUCAGUUCCUUUUGUUUCCUUGUUUAGAUACUGUGGCUGCUUCCUGGGCACUGUAAAGAAUCAUCCUCAUCCUCAUUAAAGAAGAGGACACCCCACAACAAGCUCUUGUCCAACAAGUUCCUCAUGAUUGGGGGAAGGGGAGCUCUUCCUCGUUGGAAGGAUGUGUCAAAGGGCAUACAGACGACAUCAGCUGAUGCCUUCGGAUCAUUCGGCGUCCCUAGCCAGGCACUGUGCAAAGCACUUGACGUGGAUUUCACUUCACCCCCUAAGGACCGUUUGGGUGUGGAUCCCACCAGGCAAGUACUGAUGCUUCAGGGAAAUGCGCACGCGGGAGGUCAGUCAACUAGCGAACAAACGGUAGGAUCAGGAUUUGAACCCAGACCAUCUGGCUGCAGAGUCCCAUGGCAGUUACCCCACUGUUGCUUGACAAACUACCCUGAAAUUUAGCAGCUGAAAGCAACCCCCAUUUUAUUACAGUCGGAGAUCCAGGCAGGGCUCGCCCGUCGCAGCUCGGCGGGCCUGGGUGUUUCUGCUCCCUGUGGCAUGGGCUAAGGUUGCUUGGUGGCAUUUGCCAGGUGG